rnacentral:tRNA from 1 species
GUGGGUGUAGCUCAGCUGGUUAGAGCGCCAGGUUGUGGCCCUGGAGGCCGUGGGUUCGAAUCCCAUCACUCACCCCA